UACGGGGGGGGGCAAGCGUUGUUCGGAAUUACUGGGCGUAAAGGGCUCGUAGGCGGCCAACUAAGUCAGACGUGAAAUCCCUCGGCUUAACCGGGGAACUGCAUCUGAUACUGGAUGGCUUGAGUUCGGGAGAGGGAUGCGGAAUUCCAGGUGUAGCGGUGAAAUGCGUAGAUAUCUGGAGGAAUACCGGUGGCGAAGGCGGCAUCCUGGACCGACAUUGACGCUGAGGAGCGAAAGCUAGGGGAGCAAACGGGG
rnacentral:rRNA from 1 species